rnacentral:rRNA from 1 species
AGCAGCCGCGGUAAUUCCAGCUCCAAUAGCGUAUAUUAAAGUUGUUGCAGUUAAAAAGCUCGUAGUUGAAUUUCGAGACCGGCUUAUUGGUCGUGCUUUUGUACGUACUGGUAUAAUCGGUUUCUCCUUUCUGACGAACUAUAAUGCCAUUAAUUUGGUGUUAUAGGGAAUCAGGACUGUUACUUUGAAAAAAUUAGAGUGUUUAAAGCAGGCUCACGCUUGAAUACAUUAGCAUGGAAUAACGGAAUAGGACGUUUGAUUCUAUUUUGUUGGUUUCUAGGAUCGACGUAAUGAUUAAUAGGGAUAGUUGGGGGCAUUAGUAUUCAAUUGUCAGAGGUGAAAUUCUUGGAUUUAUUGAAGACUAACUACUGCGAAAGCAUUUGCCAAGGAUGUUUUCAUUAAUCAAGAACGAAAGUUAGGGGAUCGAAGACGAUCAGAUACCGUCGUAGUCUUAACCAUAAACCUAUGCCGACUAGGGAUCGGAUGAUGUUAAUUUUUUAAUGACUCAUUCGGCGCCUUA